rnacentral:misc_RNA from 1 species
GAUGAAGAACGCAGCGAAAUGCGAUAAGUAAUGUGAAUUGCAGAAUUCAGUGAAUCAUCGAAUCUUUGAACGCAUCUUGCGCUCCUUGGUAUUCUGAGGAGCAUGCCUGUUUGAGUGUCAUUAAAUUCUCAACUACACUGACUUUGAAUUGGUGUGGCUUGGAUUUGGGGGGAAUAUUGUUGUGGGCUUUUUGUAUAGUCUGCUCCCCUGAAAUUGAUUAGCGGUACCUUUGUGGAACUGUCUACAGGUGUGAUAAUUAUCUACAUCUUAGACAUCUGCUGGAAUGCUGCUUUCUAAACCUUACUUGUAUUGACAAUCUUGACCUCAAAUCAGGUAGGACUACCCGCUGAACUUAAGCAUAUCAAUAAGCGGAGGA